AAGGGGUUACCCAAAGGCGAGGCUCAGCCAUUGCACUCGGGCUGUGCUGACCCCUGCGAAUUCCACAAAGGAGGGGAACUCGCCAGCC
rnacentral:snRNA from 2 species